ensembl:lncRNA
UACAGAACUCCAUCCAAAAAUGAUACCAAACUUACUGUGAAAUGUCAAACAAACCUGCGUAUUAUCUGUACCAAGCACAAGUCAAUGUAAACAUGCAUAAUAAAUUAGUAAUUGUCAAAUUAAAACCAGUAACUUCUACUGUCUUAUUUAGGAAACUCAGGCUACAACAUUUGAAAUUAAAAAAAAAGGAAAUAUAUCUUAAUUAAAACUGUCUAAAAAUGUCUAAAAAAGCUGGAUUAUUUUUCCCAAGAUUCUCAAACAAUAACCUUUUCCUCAUUUUCUUUUAGCAUGUAAAUCAUUAUAAGAUUUAAAUGCAAAAUAACCUUUAAGUGAGCUGGAUUCAGCCAAGGACUUAAUAAAAACAAACAAACAAAAACAAAAACAAAAAACAGGAGAGCAAUAAAUAGGAAAGAUUCAUCAGAAAUCCAGGAAUAAGGAAGGAAAAGACCUUGGAGUAGCUGGAGUAGCUGUUACUCGAGGCUUUCAAAGACAGGACUUUGGAUAUUUAUGAAGCUGCAUAAAUAAGACUAUAUGGAGAUUGAGCAUUCCUUUACACAAAACCAGUGGUGGAACUGACAGAAUAUUUUUACCCUUUGGUGACUGAUGUGAAGAAUUGCAAAUAUAAUUUGCCCAGAGGGCAAAAUGACUCCUGAAAAACCUGGUAGUUUCAAUACUUUACAUGUGGAAAAUAAAUAAAUAAAUAAAUAAAUAAAUAAAUUAAAUUUACAACAUGAGGAGGAAAGUCUAGGUUUUGUGAUGCUGCUGUUAGCUCUUACCCUUCCCCAGGCACUUUUCCUGCUGCCAUUUGGGAAGCAGAUGAGUAUCCCUAGUGAGUCACAAAGUACAUUUACAACAAUCACCAUCAGUGUUAGGCUUUUUAAGAUGACAGCCUCACAUAUUCUUUCAUGUUGUCCUUAUUCGUUAGAAUCCAGGGGUAAAGAACAGCAUGAUACAGAUAUGUGUAUAGCAAUAAAACUGUGAUUUUUUUUCCUUUCCUGUGUUACACCUUUAAAUGCCUACAACUUCCCUGCAACUAUCUUCCGGUUCUCUAGAGUUCUAUCUAAGCAUCACGGAAAGAGUUCAGCUGCCAUUUUAUUCUCACAGUUGCUGCUGCCAGGAUUUAAAGGACACAAAUCAUGUGCUCACUCUUGAGCUGCUAAUUUAGAACUGGUACAAUGCUAGCAACAGGGUAAGUUCCCCUGUAGUCAGGACUCGGGAAUUUUCACUCUGUGUUAUGAAAACUCCGUUCUUUUCCAGAGAGUGCUACGACUUAGAAUCUUGCUAAUAACAGUGCUGAAAAUUUGGCACCAGGUUUGCUCAUGCAGAUGCAGCCACAGAGACUUUGCUUUUGUGCUUCAUUAGCGCUAUUUUUCUUAAUUCAAAAAUAAGUCAUUCUACAUCGAACGUAAAUGUUUUAUGCUUUGACUGCAGAAACAAUGGGAUGACAAAGCAGGACUAAUCGCAUUUUCAGGAACAAUAACUGAAUAGAUUUACUCAGCAUGCAUACAUUUUAAAAGACAGUUUUGUAAGUGCAUUUUACUAGAGGGCAGUAAAACCUUCUGCUUCACUGAGCAGAUCCUGUGUCCAAGUCUUCAUUUACACCCCUGUGUGGGCUGUAACACUGCAAACUUAGAUUUUAGUGCACUUGCCUCCCACUUUCGUCUUCUCCAAGCCAUUAAAGUUUAUCUGAAGAAUAACAUUACAUCUGCAUUAAGCUAGAAACAAUCUUGCUGCUUGUAGGCAUCUUCUGUGUUCCUGCAGUCUCAGUUAAAC